rnacentral:rRNA from 1 species
CCUACGGGAGGCAGCAGUGAGGAAUAUUGGUCAAUGGGCGCGAGCCUGAACCAGCAAAGUAGCGUGAAGGAUGACUGUUCUACGGGUUGUAAACUUCUUUUAUAAAGGAGUAAAGUGAGGCACGUGUGCCUUAUUGUCUGUACUUUAUGAAUAAGGAUCGGCUAACUCCGUGCCAGCAGCCGCGGUAAUACGGAGGAUCCGAGCGUUAUCCGGAUUUAGUGGGUUUAAAGGGAGCGUAGAGGGGUUGUUAAGUCAGUUGUGAAAGCUUGCGGCUCAACCGUAAAAGUGCAGUUGAAACUGGCAGUCUUGAGUACAGUUGAGGUAGGCGGAAUUCGUGGUGUAGCGGUGAAAUGCUUAGAUAUCACGAAGAACUCCGAUUGCGAAGGCGGCUUACUAGACUGCCACUGACACUGAUGCUCGAAAGUGUGGGUAUCAAACAGGAUUAGAUACCCGAGUAGUC